rnacentral:ncRNA from 1 species
ACGCGCUGGCGGGGCUCGGUGAAAUUCCGAACCGGCGGUGAUCCACGCUCGACGUGGUAAGCCCGCGACCCGGACGGCUCUGCCGCCCGGUGGACCUGGUGAGAAUCCGGGGCCGACGGUGGGGGAGCGGUUCGUCCGCACCCCCGACAGUCCGGAUGGGAGACAGCGCGC